UGCAACCGCCGCCGCACGUCCGCUCGUCUUCGUCCAAACCCUCCAGGUCCUCAAUGACAUGUCCACCGAUUCGAUAACCACCGUACACCUCCCCGACGUAAUGCGAUCCUCCAUCCGUCCCGACGUUGUCAACUUCGUCCACGCCCAAAUGUCAAACAACAGCAGGCAGCCUUACGCUGUCUCCAAGAAGGCCGGUCACCAGACCUCUGCCGAGUCAUGGGGUACCGGCCGUGCAGUAUCCCGUAUCCCUCGUGUCUCCGGUGGGGGAACUCACCGAGCCGGCCAGGGAGCCUUCGGGAACAUGUGCCGUGGUGGCCGUAUGUUCGCUCCCACCAAGAUCUGGCGCCGCUGGCACCGGAGGAUCAACGUCAACCAGAAGCGGUACGCAGUAGUAUCCGCGAUCGCCGCUUCAGCUGUGCCUUCUCUGGUGAUGGCUCGCGGCCACCGGAUCGACACUGUUCCCGAACUGCCCCUGGUGAUCAACGAUUCCGCGGAGGGAGUCGAGAAGACUUCCACAGCCAUCAAGGUGUUGAAGGAGAUCGGUGCUUAUGCUGACGCCGAGAAGGCCAAGGAUAGCCAAGCUAUUCGCGCAGGGAAAGGUAAGGCGAGAAACCGUAGAUACGUAUCUCGUAAGGGGCCAUUGGUUGUCUACGGUAAUGAAGGUGCUAAGCUGGUUAAGGCAUUCCGUAACAUUCCUGGUGUGGAGAUUGCCAAUGUGGAACGCCUCAACCUUUUGAAGCUGGCUCCCGGUGGUCAUUUAGGUCGGUUUGUGAUCUGGACCAAGUCCGCUUUUGAGAAGCUUGAUUCUAUCUAUGGAACUUUUGAGAAGGCUUCGGAGAAGAAGAAUGGUUAUGUUUUGCCCAGGGCUAAGAUGGUGAAUGCUGACCUUGCUAGGAUUAUCAACUCCGAUGAGGUUCAGUCUGUGGUGAAACCCGCCAACAAGGAAGUUAAGAGGGCGACCCUGAAGAAGAAUCCAUUGAAGAACUUGAACGUGAUGUUUAAGCUUAACCCGUAUGCCAAGACCGCUAGGAGGAUGUCCUUAUUAGCUGAUGCUCAGCGCGUUAAGUCUAAGAAGGAGAAGCUUGACAGGAAGAGGACUCCCAUUAGCAAGGUAAAAAUCAGAGUUUUCUCUCUUUGAUGACACUUGAUAUUAGUAAAACUUAGCUGUAAUUAUUAUGUGAGCUGAAUGAUUUGAUCGCAUUCUAUUGUUGGGUACAGCAAUGUUCUCUGUUGUUGUUUAAGUAGGGCAUAGAAUUCUCUGUUCUAUGUUCGGUGUAACAUAAUCUUGUUGAUAGCCGUAGCAUUUUGAAUGGCACAUCUUGGCUGUCCGAAAGCCAAGUGCUUUGACACUUUCUCAAUAGUUCUUCAUGUCUGUUGAUUGAAUGUUCAUAAGAAUCUUGACCUGAGUUGCUUCUUGAACGUGUGAUUCUUCUUUGAACUAAGGGAUUGCUGAGUUGGGUUUUGUUUGUUAAAAUGGGUGAAUUUGAGCAGGAAGAAGCAAGUGCAAUCAAGGCUGCUGGAAAGGCAUGGUACAAAACAAUGGAAUCGGAAAGCGAUUACUCAGAGUUCGAGAUUUUCUCCAAAUGGCUCGGUGCAUCGCAGUAAUAAUUUCGGCGACUUUGUAUUUGUGGUUCUUGUCAAGGUUUAUAAUUAGAAGUUUGGAGAGGUUGGAUUUUACUAGGUAUUUUUGAUUUGUGUUUCCAGAGGGAUGCAACUUCUACCAAUUUUGUUUGUUGUUUGAACUUUUCAUCUUCUUAAAAUGGGGAAGGCAAUCAAUUGACAUUUCUAAAUUCAAUCUCCUAUUCAGCUAUUUUCCACUCAAAAUUGUCAUUUUUUUGUUGCGAAUUUAAUAUGGCCGAAUUUCGACUAAAUUGAUAGGCCUAAAUUUUAUGUAUUCUAUAGUCUAACCAUUUUGAAAAUGUUUUAGGGCUUGCAUUUUGCAAGUUUAGAAAUUUAACCAGAGGAUUGUAAACAGCUUAAUCAUAAUUGUAUAAUACAACAUUCUAUUACUAAUGUUAUGAUUAAUAAAAAAAAAUGUAAGAUAUCUUAAGAAUUGGAUUUUUUUAAAGUAAAUGUCUACACAUAUAUUAAUUAUGAAACUUGAAACACACAUCAUUUAGACAAUAUAUGAUCUGAUUAAUACCCGAAUGUCCACACACAUUAAGAUUAAUAUAAACCAUAUGAUAUGAGCAUCAAAUGUUUGGUACAACUAUCCUACUCGGGCCUAAGGCCCGGACCAGAUAUCUAGUGGGUUUAGCCCAAUUAGCCCACCGCACCAGUUAACAAACCUAGCCGCGAAACUUAUCGAUAUAUAAACUUCCGAAAUCCCAGAUCCCCUACUCCGCCUUCCAAAACCCUAGAAGCCAUUUGUAUUCAGCUCCACUCUUCCUUUCCCCAGCUCGGCGAAAUGGCUGCAACCGCUGCUGCACGUCCCCUCGUCUCCGUCCAAACCCUACCCGUCCUCAAUGAUAUGUCCACCGAUUCCCCCACCACCGUACACCUCCCCGACGUGAUGCGAUCCUCCAUCCGUCCCGACAUCGUCAACUUCGUCCACGCCCAGAUGUCGAACAACAGUCGCCAACCCUACGCCGUCUCCAAGAAGGCCGGUCACCAGACCUCCGCCGAGUCAUGG
rnacentral:lncRNA from 1 species